GACGUAGGAGGCGAGCGUUGUCCGGAUUCAUUGGGCGUAAAGAGCGCGCAGGCGGCUUGGUAAGUCGGAUGUGAAAUCCCGAGGCUCAACCUCGGGUCUGCAUCCGAUACUGCCCGGCUAGAGGUAGGUAGGGGAGAUCGGAAUUCCUGGUGUAGCGGUGAAAUGCGCAGAUAUCAGGAAGAACACCCGUGGCUAAGGCGGCUCUCUAGUACGGUACUGACGCUGAGACGCGAAAGCGUGGGGAGCAAACAGG
rnacentral:rRNA from 1 species